rnacentral:rRNA from 1 species
AUUGAACGCUGGCGGCAUGCUUUACACAUGCAAGUCGAACGGUAACAGGCCGCAAGGUGCUGACGAGUGGCGAACGGGUGAGUAAUGCAUCGGAACGUGCCCAGUCGUGGGGGAUAACUACUCGAAAGAGUAGCUAAUACCGCAUACGAUCUAUGGAUGAAAGCGGGGGACCGUAAGGCCUCGCGCGAUUGGAGCGGCCGAUGUCAGAUUAGGUAGUUGGUGGGGUAAAGGCUCACCAAGCCAACGAUCUGUAGCUGGUCUGAGAGGACGACCAGCCACACUGGGACUGAGACAAGGCCCAGACUCCUAAGGGAGGCAGCAGUGGGGAAUUUUGGACAAUGGGCGCAAGCCUGAUCCAGCAAUGCCGCGUGCAGGAAGAAGGCCUUCGGGUUGUAAACUGCUUUUGUACGGAACGAAACGGCUCUGGUUAAUACCCGGGGCUAAUGACGGUACCGUAAGAAUAAGCACCGGCUAACUACGUG